rnacentral:rRNA from 1 species
CAGCAGCAGCCGCGGUAAUACGAAGGGUGCAAGCGUUAAUCGGAAUUACUGGGCGUAAAGCGCGCGUAGGUGGUUCAUUAAGUUGGAUGUGAAAGCCCUGGGCUCAACCUGGGAACUGCAUCCAAAACUGGUGAGCUAGAGUACGGUAGAGGGUAGUGGAAUUUCCUGUGUAGCGGUGAAAUGCGUAGAUAUAGGAAGGAACACCAGUGGCGAAGGCGACUACCUGGACUGAUACUGACACUGAGGUGCGAAAGCGUGGGGAGCAAACAGGAUUAGAUACCCGCGUAGUCCCUGUCUCUUAUAC